ACGCGGCCUCCGCCGAGUCCGGCCCGCCCUCGGGCAGCCGGAGCCGGGGACCCGACCGAACAUCUGGGGUGAAUCGGCCCGACAGCCCUCCGGGGCAAGGGCCGUAGGGCAUGCCUUCCGCGUCUUCCCGCCCGAACCCGACAGCUAACCCGGUAGGCGGAGGACGGAAGGAGUA
rnacentral:sRNA from 2 species